ensembl:lncRNA
UGCAAAUACACACUGUUUAUACUCACAGUACACACUGCAAAUACACACUGUUUAUACUCACAGUACACACUGCAAAUACACACUGUUUAUACUCACAGUACACACUGCAAAUACACACUGUUUAUACUCACAGUACGCACUGCAAAUACACACUGUUUAUACUCACAGUACGCACUGCAAAUACACACUGUAUAUACUCACAGAACACUGCAAAUACACACUGUAUGUACACACAGUACACACUGUAAAUACACACUGUAUAUACUCACAGUACACACUGCAAAUACACACUGCAAAUACACACUGUAUAUACUCACAGUACACACUGCAAAUACACACUGUAUAUGCACACAGUACACACUGCAAAUACACACUGUAUAUACUCUCAGUACGCACUGUAAAUACACACUGUAUAUACACACUGCAAAUACACACUGUAUAUACACACUGCAAAUACACACUGUAUAUACUCACAGUACACACUUUUAGUACACAUUGCAUAUACACAUUGCUAGUAUACGCUGAAUAUACUCACAGUACACACUGCAAAUACACACUGUAUGUAUUCACAGUACACACUUUUAGUACACAUUGUAUAUACACCCUUUGUCUAUAUAUAUAUAUAUAUAUAUGUAUACAGUAAUCCCUCGUUUAUCGCGGGGGUUACGUUCCGAAAAUGACCCGCGAUAAGUGAAAUCCGCGAAAUAGAAAACUUUUUUUUUUUUUUACAAUUAGCAACUAUUACAUGUAUACAAAUACAGUGGCUCGCGUGUAGGCCGUUUCACUGCUCUUCAGACUGGGCCGCUGCAUCCUGACUGCGCUCUGCAGUGUUCUCUUCUUCUGAAGCCCGCGGUGCAGGUGUGUUUGUUCGGGAGAAGAACAUAGUGAUAGGCAGCUGUUGUCGCUCUUUUUUCUUCUUUGCAAAAAGAUCCUUGUACACCGACAUGCCACCAUCGAUGACGUUGGAGAACUGUAAUGAACGGCUCGGGAGUGAGUUUUUAGCGAAUCAGAAUGCAGAGCACAAUGCACCAAAAAAAAAAAAAUGCAAUAUGAAAAUCCGCGAAAUAGCGAAUCCGCGAUAAGUGAACCGCGAAGUGGCGAGGGAUCACUGUAUACGGGCUGUGAACAUAAACGCAUUAAUCUAUGCGAUUAAUGUGGCCAAGAUUAAUGCGACAAAAUACUCUAACGUAGUUAAGGUACCUUUGUUUAUCAGAAGUAGACGGCGGAAACGAAACGGCCGCUAGCUGCAGUCGGUUACAUCGGAGAAAGCAGGACGGUAGCUCAAGAUGAGACAGCUUUUUGCAUUGGAAGUAAAACCAACAGAGGCACCACAUACAGCAGAGAACAAAGUGAAGGGGGGUGAGUGGCAAACGGACCCCUUAAAGCACCGCUAUGCUAAGCUAAGCUAGCUGGAAGAGUUGCUAGUUCAACAUAUUCCACUCGGUGUAAUUCUGCCUCCAAGGUGAUCAGAUGUGUGUAGUUUUGUGUUUAAAAUAACAUUAACAAUAGACAACAGUGUCUAAAUAGUAUAUAUAUAUAUAAUAUAUAUAAGAUGAACGAAUUCCAAAAUGUGCGAUUAAUUAGUUACAUUUUUAAUCCAUCGACAGCCCUAAUAUACAUAUACAUGUACAUAUAUGUUUAUAUGUACAUGUAUAUACCUUAUGUGCACUGACCAGCUCCUCUGACUGUUCUUCAUCUACUCAUCAAUUUCCUCCGUCCCACCUUCACCUGUGCAGGUGUCCCCGGUCCGGAGGAGAUAAGUCCCGAGCUCCCACUCUGUGUCUGGUGUGCGGCUCCAUGUUGUGUUCUCAGAGUUACUGCUGUCAGACGGAGGUGGACGGAGAGGACGUAGGUGCCUGCACCGCCCACACCUUCACCUGUGGAGCCGGCCUUGGUCUCUUCCUCAGGGUAAGAGAAAGUCAGGUGCUGUUUGUAGCAGGUAAAACAAAGGGCUGCUUCUAUCCUCCUCCGUACCUGGACGACUACGGGGAGACGGACCAGGGCCUCAAGCGGGGGAACCCCCUCCACCUUUGUUUAUUGAUUAGUUUAUUUGUUUACCUACUGACGGGGGAACCCCCUCCACCUUUUGUUUAUUGAUUUAUUGAUUAGUUUGUUUGUUUACCUGCAGGCGGGGGAACCCCCUCCACCUUUUGUUUAUUGAUUUAUUGAUUAGUUUGUUUGUUUACCUGCAGGCGGGGGAACCCCCUCCACCUCUGCGUUGAGCGCUACAGGAAGAUUGAGCGUCUGUGGCGUCAGCACGGCAUCGCUGAGGUCAUAGGUCACGCUCAGGAGGCCAAUCAAACGCUGGUAGCCAUCGACUGGCAGCACCUGUGAUGAUUGGCUCCUCUCUGCGUUUGCCCCGCCCCUUUUCAGUUACUGCGCCGCAUGUUAACAAAUCAGCUUCCUGCAGCCCAGUGCUGACUUCAGAUCAGCGUUCAGGGAUUCUUUCAGGACUUUUGGUUUCGGUGUGAUAGAGGAUCUUUACCAUUGACAUCUCACCGUGUCUGUUUCCCUCCAGUACUCAGACUGUUCCCCCUUUAUUCUUGCUCACACAGACACACAUUUACGAACAUUUCUUUUUUAAAUAGUUUUUUAUUGAUUUUUUUCAAAUUUUCAUUUGUUUCAGAAAAUGAUCCGACAAAAUGAAAAAUCAUUACUUCAACUCAUUAACAUUGUACCAGAAUGAAGCCCCGCCCACCUGCUGCUGUCCCACACAGGUUGAUUGUCAGGUUAGGGUCUUUAAUCUUGAAUCCCGGAUUCAGAAAAUGCUUCAACCCCCAAGAUGCAUCUCAUCAACAAAGAGCUUUAAGAAGCUAAAGGUAACCCUUUGUAGAACCCUUCAGGAACAUUGCGGCCUUGUCUCCAUGGCAAUAUCAGCUGAGGCUCCUGGGUAUUGUUAGUAUUUACAAAAUAAGAACGGUGUAUGUGAAGGCUCUUAUUGUUAAAUCACCACGUCGUCUCUUAAGAAACGUGUAACCAUGGUUGCCACUGUGAUCAAUUACUGAUUGGUGAGUCAUACAUUUGUGUUUCCAUGGCCACACCCUCCCAGAAUUCAGUGCUGCUGCAUAACGGAAAUUGAAAAAGGAUUGUUCCUAUUCAUCGGUUCACAGCAAGCUGACCCUUUGUGGUCCACGGGUUUGUUUUGGUGAGCUGUGAUGUCCCUUCCUCUUUUUUUAUGAGUUUGCUGAAAUUUGAAGAGUCAAACACAAACUGAAAUCUUUCAUUUAUUUAUUUAUUUAUUUAUUAGUUUCUUAUAAAAAUCUGAUUUCCCUUUAAACUCUUGAGUUUGAAAUAUUUUCUUUUUUAUAAGUUUAAAUAAAAAGUGGCCUCAUCUUCCUUAUCUUCAUUUUUCAGACUUGUUAAUAUGUGAAUUAUUGUAUAAAUGAGUAAAUGUACAAUAUUGUAUAAGAAUAACAAAACCAUUAAAC